CGCCAGGAUAGGCGAACGACCACCAAACCCACGGCCACUGCUGGCCAAGAGGCAAGGCAAAAUGUAACUGGAACCACUUUGAGCUACUCCUUUGGGCCAGGCCCUGCACUUUGUGAAGAAGCAACCAAGUAUUUAGGGAACAUAACGAAUAAGAUCUGCCCUGCGGCGGAAAGAGCAAACACAGGACUCAGCGUCAAGCAGAUGUGGCCUCAGAUCCCAGCUUCACAACAAGCUGCCUGACUUUGGGGCCAAGCAUCUCAUCUAAUUUCAUCUUGACCUGCGUCAUACAUGUUAUUCUUUUCAUUCGACAAGUACACAUUGAGCACUGAUCAUGUCCGAAGCUGUGACAAGUUCAGGGAAUACAAUCAAUAACGACCAG